rnacentral:rRNA from 1 species
GACGUAGGGUCCAAGCGUUGUCCGGAUUUACUGGGCGUAAAGAGCGCGUAGGCGGUCCGUUAAGUGUAGAGUGAAAGCUCCGGGCUCAACUCGGAAAUUGCUCUGCAUACUGGCGGACUUGAGGGUGGCAGAGGUUUGUGGAAUUCCUGGUGUAGCGGUGAAAUGCGUAGAUAUCAGGAGGAACACCCAUGGCGAAGGCAGCAAACUGGGCCACAUCUGACGCUGAGGUGCGAAAGCGUGGGUAGCAAACAGG